GCAGACUUAAACUGCUGAGAGAGUUUAGGUCCCUUCAGCCCAUAGCCCACUGGGCUGAUCUUUAGUUUGGGAAGCAGGAGAUGUAUUUCGAAAAAGAGCUGUGUGUAACCUGGUAGUGAUGGCAUUUACUGGGGAGGGGGCACGCACUGGUUCCAGUCGCUACACCAAGGACUUGAAAAGAUGCAAUUGUUGGGUAACAGGGAGAAGUUCUCUCUCCAUCCCAGUAGAGAGUGAGAGAGAUUCUAGAUGUAAUUUUGUUCAGCAGCUUGGACAUAUCUGUGAUGGGAAAGACGAGGUCCUCAGCCUCUCCAUCAGUUCCUGUGAGAAAUAUAAGCCAUGGCAUUGUGUCAUGAGGAGGGACUGGGCUCCCAGCUUAGUGUCAGGGACAGCUACUCCUGCCAGUGAUGCCUCCUUUUAAUUAUCUCCUGCACUUAAUAUGACUGAUGUUCCCAUGCGCAGUGUGACAACUUCUCCCUUGGCUGGCACAGGGAAGUUGAAGAGUGACAGUGUUGGCACUGGCACUGCAAGAAAAUGCAGUAAAAAUAGAAGCAUGGGAGCUUUAAUAAUCUCUAUGUAUUCCAGGGUGUAAAAAAAAAUUACUUAAAGGUGGGAAUAAAAUCUGGCUUGCAUCUCCUGUAUCAGAGGCACAGGUUACCUUCUCCAGCAGCCAAGUGCUCCCUCCCUCUCCAGCCCUGACCCCAGUCACUGUCUCAUGCAGGUCCUGCUUUCCUCUGGCCACGCUGAGGCAAUUUAACCCGCUAAUCUUGUGGAAGACUAUAUUUUGAUGGAUCAGUUUUUCAUUGGGUUUGUGAUUAGAGGCUCUCACUAUCCAGUCAAAUAAGCUUUAGAGCUGAGGGGAGGGACUGGAGCAAGAGGAAAUAAGGAGGAAGCAGUAAAGGGAGAAUUGUCCCCUCCUGGCAGUAGGGAUGCUUUAGAUUAGCUCAGCCAUAUCAUCUGUCUGGACUGUGAGAGUAAAUUCUGCUCUGUUUUCUGUUAUUGCUUGCUUUAUGCUUUGUUUGUUUUGGUUUUUGAUAGGAAGAAAUGUAGCUGUAUAUAUUUGGGAGAGGGUUUUGGGCAAACAUCCUGGUCUGACAUCUGUUCAGAGCAGCUUGGACAGGAAUUUCUAGACCCCCAACCCCCCCAAAAUUUGGAUUUAAAUGCUUCCCUGUCCAGCACAUCACAAUUGCCAGCGGCCCCCAGGCUAUUUCAAGAACACUGAGAUGUUUAAUUCAGCCCAGGCUCUGUGCAGGUCACCCUGCUUGUGGCUUCUUCCCACGGUGCCAGCUACUGCUCCCAGUCCCUUUGAGGAGUAGCUCUAGGUCACACAGAAAACCAGGGCAAAGCCAGGAGUGACAUUCUCCUUUCCUGUGUUACAGUCUAGUAUCUUAAUUAUUAUUUCAGUUCUUCCUGUUCAGUGUGAGGGUCCCUCCCCUCCUCUCCCAUAUUAGUGUGUUUCUUUUAAGUGUCAGCAACAGAGGAAAAUCAUCUGCGGAAAUUCAGCUCUAGGGAAAAAAAGGGGGGAAAAAAGCUGUUAUAGGCAUUCAUUCAUUCAUAUUUAAGAAUGAAUUUUCUUCAGCUGUGCUGUGACCUCACUUAUACUGUCAGGAGAACUGUUAGAUGAAGAAUGUUAGAGCAUCCUUUUUAAGUUGCCUUGUAAAGUUUUGGGGUCUUGCUAACAACAUUAUUUUUUUCAGCCAAAGAAUGGAAGGAUGUUUAAAAUAUUUCAUCAUCAGAGUCCUUGUGGUCUGCAGGAAAAAAUUAUCCCAGCUAUUACUAUCUGUGUGAAUAUAAUAUUUCCCUCAUUUCAGCUUAUUUUUCUUAUGUCUGCCUUGUUUUGGGGAACCUAAUCUGAAUAGGCAGACUGUGAUUUGUGAUAUUUGUGUCAGAGGAUCAGGCCCUGAAGUUCGUUGCUUCUGAACUAUUAAGCUAUAACUGUGGAAAGGUGCCACCCAAAUAUAAGAGAGGAAUCUUGUCAGUCUUCCUGUUGUAGAAUUUUGUUCUUUUAUCUUGAUUUAAAAUGUUUCGAUAUAAAAUUCUCCUGUGUUCUUAUUUCUUAAAAGCUUCUCUAAUAACAGCACUUGGCUUGUGCUCCCCACCUCAAACCCAUGGAAAACAGCAAACCUGCCAUCGUAUUUAAUGUGCUUCCAGAAUUUCUUGAUCAGAGCUUAACUGCUGUAGGAUAACAGCAACAACCACCACCAUCACCACCAAAUAAUGAGAACCAAAUAAGCCAGAGCACUGCAGGGACCUUACAUGUGAAAAAAACAUCCUGUUCUGUUCUAUACUUGCUUGCAAGUUAUGAAUAAUGACUGAGGACGUUUGGAGAAGGAUGAGAAUCCCCUUGGCAGCUGGAAGUGUUUGGAUGUGAGGAUAUUAUCUCAGGUCAUGAACCCAGAAAGACGUGGAAGAGCCCACACACCUUCCUCUGGGAGAGAAGGAUGAGGAAGCACAGAACUGACAUUGCCCUGCCGAUGUCUUUGGCCAUCACCAUUUUCACAUGUGUUAACCCUGCUGCCUUCUUCAUCGGUGUUGGGGAGCAGAGCCUUGGAAACACAGGAAAACAAUCCCAACAGUGUGCUGCAAACUUUUAGGGACUAAGCUUCCUAAUCACUACCGUAUGGCUCAUAAAAGGGGCAACCUGAUACCAUGUACCAAGAGGUUGUUAUUCCUCCUUUCUCCCCUAUCCCACUCCAAAUGUUAGAACAAUAAAUACAUUUGCCUCUUGUUUAAGAUCACUUAAAAUAAGUUGUUUUAAUUAAACCUCCUGGCAAUCUAUCUGCACUAAGUGAUUAAGUGCCUCUUCUUUCAGUGAAAGGAGAAGGGAUUAUCACAGGACAAGACUGACUGAAUUGUGGACAGAACUAGAACUGGGAAGAAGAAAUGCUGCUCAGGAGAAGGAAUGAGCGGAUGGGGAAGGACAGAAGAGCUUCUUUUAGGUGACAAUGCUGGGCCACAUGGACUUGAAGUGUUUCUGCAGAUAUUCCAAACCCACCUGGAUGUGUUCCUGUGUAACUUGCCUUGACAGAGGGGUUGGUCUGGGUAAUCUCCAGAGGUCCCUUCCAACCCUAAUGACGCUGUGAUUCUGUGUGGGACAGUUCCAUGGAAGCAUGGAACUACUCCUAUGGGGACUCCUCCAUGACCUGAAAUUCUGCACUGAGGCAGAAAUGUGGCAAGGUCCUGAUGGAAGGCAGCUCUGCCUCAGGUGCCAACUCCCACUGGCCUCAAUCCUUAAGCAUACAUGUGAUCUUGCCUGGAUAUGUUUCCCUGAACCACAGCACACAAUGAGUUGAAAAAAAGAGAGUAGAGUGUGUGGGUGGGGACAUUUCUGUCAAACAUCCAGUUCUUCACCUCACUACCAGCACUGGGGGAGAGCUGGACCCCCUUAUUCUGUGGUACUUUACUCCAUAGAACUGAAGUUAUUAGGAUCCUCAUGGGUAAAGCAUCACCAAAAGAUAAGAGAGGGCAGUGGGCUGUGUUACUGUAGCACUGCUCUAUCACUAAGAUAGUUUCAGGCCAGAUUUCCAACUCCUUUUUCCUUGGAGAUCCUCUUUCAGCAAAUGUAGUUGCAUUGACUUUAGAAAUCUGAUUCUGAAUUUUCUUCAGAGAUGUGAGAUCCUCAUGAUCUGGACGUUGUUGUUGUUGUUAUUAUUAUUGUUAUUGCUAUUAUUAUUAAUAAUAUUAUUGUUAUUAUAUGCCUUCUAGUCAUUGUUUAGAUUUGUAAAGAUUUACUCUUUCAAAGACUAAUUUAUAGCACUACUUUAAUUCUGUUUUAAAUAGGUAAGAAGUAGGGGGUGAAAAAGGACUUCUACUGCAAAAGUCUUACUUAACUCAGAGGGGAUUUAAAUUCACCCAAUUCAACACUGCUUGGGCAAAUUCUUAAUUUUAAGAACUUCAAAUGUUUUUGAUUUUGGAACAGUGGUGUGGCGCAGAAGCAAAUAGUGUUACAUUAGCUCUUGCAACCAUUUUGCUGUGAAUUUUAUGUCAGGAUUUUCAGAAGUUAAAAUCUAAAAAUCCAGCCCCUGAUCAUGGGGACAGCUCCCAGUAAAUGUAAGCAGGAGACACAUGGCAGCAGAGCACAGAGCACAGUCAUUUGCCUGCAUGUCUACAGCAAAGCCAUUAAAACCAGUCCGCUUCUUGGUCUGAGGUUUCCUUUAAACAUUUUCUGUAUUUUAAACAUUCCACUCAGAUUUCUUCUGCAUUGUGGCAAAUGCCAGGAUUCAAAGAGCUGUCAUCAGCUGCCACCAUGGCCACUGCCCCUUCCCUGAGACAAAACAUGCCACUGCAUCCUUCCCAGGACUGCGUUCAUGCUGACAGCUUUCAGUCCCUACAGCUUCAACAGCUCCGUUUUCUCCCAUCUGAUGUAUUUUAUCUCCCAAAUUUUUUCCAGUUUAAAGCCAGCUUGAAGAGACUCUUGGUGGGCUUAAAGUAGUUGGGAAUGAAGUGGAUGUGAAGUGGGUAAACAGAAUACUCCAGAAAACUGUUCCUCUAGGGCUGUUCCUCUAGGGUAAUGAUCAGUCUGGGGUCAAAUGGGCACUGGGAGGAUGGAUCCCAAUCUGGUUGCAACUCCUGCCACUGGAGCUGUUACAUUCUCUAUCAGCUUUUGGCUUGGCUGUUCUGAUUUCUCACAUUUUUGUGAUAAUUUUACAAGUGUUUCAACUGCUUGCCAGAAGGUGUGUCAGGUGUCUUGUCUAACUUUUCUUUUUGCUGAUUCUUGUUUCCCUGAGUACCUCAAGAAAUCAUUUAAACUAAGAAAGGGUCCAAAACAGCAAUAGUCUGUAGUUGUUUGGGAAAGUUUGCAUUUCAAACUAGAAAUUUAAAUUUCUGCUAAAAUUGCAACCAGAUCAGAACUUCUGAUCCAUUUUUUUUCCCUCUGAAGAAUAUGGGUAGACUUUUUGGAAGCCUGAGUUACAUUGUACAUCAAUCAGAUGUAGGUUUAUAUCCAUCCCUUCAAAGUCCUUCUUGAGUACCCCAUCUUUCAAAUGCAGUUGGCUGCACCUUUGGAGACCAGGAAGAAAGUUGAGGGUUUAGGCACUAGACAAUCUCUCUGCUACAGCACUAAAUUAAAACAAAGCUAUCUGAAAUAAUUGUUUCUAGAACUGAUACUGCCAGGAGCAUGAGUGGACAUGAAAUAACUUUUAUUUCAGGGCUAUACAUGAUAUCUGAUUGAUGGUGGAGCUGAUACUGCACCCAGGAUGCCCAAGGUUCCACUGUGGUUUUUCCAGUUUGUUUGACACUUUGAAAUAUGUAUCAGGAUGCCACAUGGAAAAUGAAGGCCUUGAUUAUGAUUUUCAGAUUAAUGAUCUCAUUUGUUCAGAAUGGAUCAUUUGUUUUUGUAGGACCUGCUUUUUAUUUCUCAAUUAAUAGAGAAAACACUACUUGUGGAAAUUGGGUGAUAUUUCUAAGGCAAUUGGUAAUUUCUGUAACUUCAUAGCAUGACAUGCAAGUUUUAUUGGAUUUGUUUCCAUCAGAGUGCCACGUGCCAACAGGAGAAGGGGAUGGAAGAAUAGGAUGCUCUUUCUGUGACAUUUUAGAAACAUUCCCUUUGUUUAAAAUUAGUCCAGUGUCCCUGGGACAGGGCAGAGGCAGGGAGGGGAUUUUGUGUUGCCAAGGACAGAAUGUCAAGACUUGUGGGCUCUUCUGCUUGGAUGAAGAGGAGAAAAUGGGUUGUGCCUGUGGGGCUGCUGCCUUCACAGGGACGCUGCAGCCCCAAAACAAACCUGUGCUCCACCACUGGGGCCCUUCUGCUUCCUGUGGCUGCCCUGGAGGUGCAAGGUGUUUGUUUCUCCCAAGUGGAUGCUUAUUAAGUGUCACAUUCCACAUGACUCUCAUGUAAAAAAAAAAAAAAAAAAAAAUUAAAAAAGAUUCCUGUAGUCAGAGGGCCAAAAUUAGCUUCUCCUUAAAAGCCUGGAAAGGCAAAGUGGAGAUUAAAACCUACGUGGGUCACAGUAACCCUCUCAAAAUGAAGAGACUGAUACAGAAUGCUGAGGAUGAACUUUCUUUUCCCAUUUCCAGACCAAAAAAACAAAGCAAAAAAACCCACCCCAAACUCCAAAAAAGUCCCCAAAACCAACCAAACAAACAACAAAACAAACCAACCAAACAACAACAAACGACAAAAAACCCACCCAACCAAACAAAAAAAACCCAAAAACAAAAAACAAACAAAAAACACACACAAAAAACCUAACAAAAAAUAAAAAAAAAACAAAAACAAACCAAAAAACCCCAAACAAACAAACAAACAAACAAACAAAAAAAGCUCUAUAGGUGUUUCCAGGUGCUGUUUUGAAAUGCAGUGGCUCUGAUUGCAGGUCCUCCAGGUCCAAUGCCAUCUAUUUUCAACUGUCUUAUGUCAACAUGAAAACCUUUAUUAGGUUCCAGCCCAAAAUGUAAAGGAAUUAUGAAAGUCAACUGAGUCAGGUAAAAACGUGGAAGGGGUGGAGGGGUUGGAAUUUGUGGUGUCAAAAAGAGAGAAUAUUAAAAAGCCAAAAUUCAGAAUACUUUUGAAAGGCUCAUUAGGAGCCUUUAGGCAUGGAGAGGUAUGGUAAAUUCAUCAUGAAGCAGCCCCUUCCAUAAGCUGAUGUCAGACGGGCUGGUAAAGGGUGAUAAACUCUCUUACCCAAGUAUCCAAGCUGACCAAACCAUUUAGCAAUUAGGAAGAGAAUACAUGAGCAUUUACUUCACAGGCACCUGGUGUGAUUUCUGCCCCUUUGCUGGUGGUUAAAUACCUGUUUAGAACAACCCAAAACUUAAAAAUCUACUUUUAAUAGGAUUUUUGUGCCAUCAUAAUGCUAAUAAAAUCUAAAUAUAUGUGCCUUAUGAGUACAGCUGUGCAAAUACAUUUUCUGUAAGAACCAAAAGUGAGGAAAGAGGGAGAGGAAGGAAUUGGGUGGAGUCAAGUCAGUUUACAAGCAAGAAAUGGGAGGGGGAAUGCAUUUCAGACCUAAUGAGACAUCUCAUUUGGAGGAUUCAAUUUUUUUUUUUUUAAUAGAAUGUAACCGAAGAUCCAAGUGAAACUUUUAUGCAAAAUAAAAAUUUGAA